rnacentral:rRNA from 1 species
AUGAACGCUGGCGGCGUGCCUAAUACAUGCAAGUAGAACGCUGAAGCUUGGUGCUUGCACCGAGCGGAUGAGUUGCGAACGGGUGAGUAACGCGUAGGUAACCUGCCUGGUAGCGGGGGAUAACUAUUGGAAACGAUAGCUAAUACCGCAUAACAGUAGAUAUUGCAUGAUAUCUGCUUGAAAGGUGCAAAUGCAUCACUACCAGAUGGACCUGCGUUGUAUUAGCUAGUUGGUGAGGUAACGGCUCACCAAGGCGACGAUACAUAGCCGACCUGAGAGGGUGAUCGGCCACACUGGGACUGAGACACGGCCCAGACUCCUACGGGAGGCAGCAGUAGGGAAUCUUCGGCAAUGGGGGGAACCCUGACCGAGCAACGCCGCGUGAGUGAAGAAGGUUUUCGGAUCGUAAAGCUCUGUUGUAAGAGAAGAACGAGUGUGAGAGUGGAAAGUUCACACUGUGACGGUAUCUUACCAGAAAGAGACGGCUAACUACGUG